rnacentral:rRNA from 1 species
AAGCGUGACGUGGGAAUCUCCAAGUGCCUUGCCUUCGGGUAGGGUUUUUGUUCAGUGUAAGUAGCUAAACAAAUAAGUGCUGGGUAAAACCGGUGCCAGCACCCGCGGUAAAA